ACUGCUAACUUGUUCUGAGCAGUCAGCUCCGCUCUCUGAAUUGUGAGGCUGGCUGGGACAUGCUGGGGAGGACAACGUCAAGUCCACCAGGAGAACACUGCUGGCUUUUGCUAAUGCACAGAACUUUGUGGAGAAGCACAUGGACGAAACCUGCAGAGAUUUGAGUGUUGUCUUCCUUCCUGGUUUCCAUCCUGGGACCUGUGGCACGACAGUGGAGACGAUAAGAAACAAUGAAUCUCAAUACUGUGUUUAAGAACAUCAGUGCAGAGCCAUGAAAAGAACCAAGGCUGCUGGCUCAGAACGUCUGGCUGGGUCCGUCAGACCACGUCUCAUGAGAUGACAACACUUUCGCUUUUAAGAGAUCAAUGUUGUAAUAAUGACAAUGUUCUCUUGUCUAAUCCCAUAGGUCUUGUAUAUUUCAAAUGCUUAUCUGCCUAAUUAUAGCAACUGAACAAUGUAAUCAACUAUCCUCUCUUUCCCCAGGUGAAUAAAUCUUUUUUUGCCCA